UGAAUUUGGCUAAUCUAAACUAGUGCGUCUAGAGUUGAUUCGAGAUAUCAUUGAAAAGGUUAAGCUCAUCUAAGAGUGGUUAAUGAUAACUCAUAGUAGGAAAAGUCUUACUCUAAUCAGAGGUGCCACCCUAAGGACUCAGUGUGGGAGAACAUGUAUUCCUACGUGUUUCAUCAAUGUAGGGUGUAUUGUAGUUUGACGAAAGUGGGAAAAUUAGUUCAAAGUUCAUUGGAAUUUUAGAGUUUUGCUAGAGAUUCGAAACUUCUAGCUUAUCACUUGGC
rnacentral:lncRNA from 1 species